GCAUUAAUGGGGUAGUGGUAACCUGGGUUGUUGCCAUUGGUCUACUGCCUUGAAGUUUAUUGACCCGCUGGGGGUUCAAUUCCCCCUUAAUGCA